rnacentral:rRNA from 1 species
CAGCAGCCGCGGGAAUACGUAGGUGGCAAGCGUUGUCCGGAAUUAUUGGGCGUAAAGGGCUCGCAGGCGGUUUCUUAAGUCUGAUGUGAAAGCCCCCGGCUCAACCGGGGAGGGUCAUUGGAAACUGGGAAACUUGAGUGCAGAAGAGGAGAGUGGAAUUCCACGUGUAGCGGUGAAAUGCGUAGAGAUGUGGAGGAACACCAGUGGCGAAGGCGACUCUCUGGUCUGUAACUGACGUUGAGGAGCGAAAGCGUGGGGAGCGAACAGGAUUAGAUACCCCCGUAGUCCCUGUCUCUUAUAC